GAUGAAGAACGCAGUGAAAUGCGAUAAGUAAUGUGAAUUGCAGAAUUCAGUGAAUCAUCGAAUCUUUGAACGCACCUUGCACCCUUUGGCAUUCCGAAGGGUAUGCUCGUUUGAGUGUCAUUGUACUCUCACACUUCCAAUCUUUGGAUUGGGAGCAGUGGACUUGGGUGUUGCUGCUUACUGUGGCUCACCUCAAAUCGAUUCGUGCACCUCUUGGUUGGACAUAGUACGGCGUGAUAAGUGUCUUCGCCGGCACCUCAGUAGAGGGUGGCUGAUCAGGAGCUCUGUGCUUCAAACCGUCCUCGGACAACAACUGACAACUUGACCUCAAAUCGAGUAGGACUACCCGCUGAACUUAAGCAUAUCAAUAAGCGGAGGA
rnacentral:misc_RNA from 1 species